rnacentral:rRNA from 1 species
UGGGACCAACCAAAUUACAAAUCAGAAACUUACUGUACCUUUAGUAUCAGGGAAAUUCCAAUCCUUUUUCUUAAAUAAUAAUCCCGAAAUUAAGAUGAUCUACGAAUCCUUUCUAAACUUAUGACACAAAGUUUAUUAAAUCAUAUGUAGAAAUGAAAUUUUUCCCGCUUUUAUUGAUAUCUGGUUAUCUCAAAAAGUAAAAAAUACUAAAAUUUUCCAAGGGACAAUCUUUGUAAAUCAUUUUUCUAUCCCCUUCUUCCUCCCCGCAAAGAUUAAUAGUGUCUAUCCAGUUUAAAAACUUAUUCCUUUUACCCACCGAAUCAUUUUAAGAGAUACCCUUUUAUUAAUCUUUACAAUGAAUUUAUAAGUAAAACUACCAAAAAAUCUUACCCGUGAAAGCUUCUCCUAACAACUCUUCUCUAUAAUCUAUGAACUCGGCCCUCCCCUAUUGUAUGUUUACCAAAAACAUUUCUGAAUGAAAUUAUACUCAGUAGGACCUGCUCAAUGAAUUUUAAAUAGCCGCAAUUCAUCUGUGCUAAGGUAGCAAAAUCAUUCGCCUUUUAAUUGAAGGCUAGUAUGAACGGUCUGUCAUAUAGGCCCCUUUAUUAAUUAUACUAUUCAAAAUUUACCUUCAAGUUACAAGGCUUGAAUUCAAAAGAAAGACGACAAGACCCCGACGAGCUUAAACUUUUGUUGAACUGGGGAGGUACAAAACUAAAUCUUUUCUUUCUAAUUCUACCCAACCUUUUUAAAAGAAUCUUUCAAGUUACCGCAGGGAUAACAGCACAAUUUUUUCUUUUAGCUC